CUCAGUGCACCAUGAGGCUCCCUGCUCAGCUCCUGGGGCUGCUAAUGCUCUGCGUCCCCGGAUCCAGUGGGGAUGUUGUAAUGACUCAGUCUCCACUUACCCUGCCUGUCACCCCUGGACAGCCGGCCUCCAUCUCCUGCAGGUCUAGUCAAAGCCUUGUACACAGUAAUGGAAACACCUACUUGAGUUGGUUACAGCAGAAGCCAGGCCAACCUCCAAGGCUCCUAAUUUAUAAGGUUUCUAACCGGUACUCUGGGGUCCCAGACAGAUUCAGCGGCAGUGGGGCAGGGACAGAUUUCACACUGAAAAUCAGCAGAGUGGAGGCUGAGGAUGUUGGGGUUUAUUACUGCUGCAAGGUACACACUGGCCUCCCACAGUGAGACUGCUGGUUGGGUCUGGAGAUGUCACAAGCACUGACAUGCUGAACAGAAGGCCCAGCAGGGUCUACACCAGCAGGGGGCGGGCAGCGGGGGUGGAGUCUGGUGUCUAUGACUCAGACAUGCACCAGUUUGGAGUUUGGAGAUGCUGCACGUUCUCCUGUGAGCAGAACCCUCACCAGGACCCUGCACAGCCUGAGGGCCUCAAACACAGCCCCUCUAGUAGGCUCAGCCUCUCAUUGCAGCACCAGCAACUGCAGCACCCAGAGAUGGAGCCCACAGCCGUUGGGCUGGAGAAGAUGGUGAAGACGGCUGGAGAGCCUUUGAAGAGGAGACCAUGA